UACGUAGGGGGCAAGCGUUGUCCGGAUUUAUUGGGCGUAAAGGGUGCGUAGGCGGCGGGGCAAGUCUGAUGUGAAAUCCCGGGGCUCAACCCCGGAACUGCAUUGGAUACUGCCUUGCUUGAGUACUGGAGAGGGAACUGGAAUUUACGGUGUAGCAGUGAAAUGCGUAGAGAUCGUAAGGAAGGCCAGUGGCGAAGGCGGCCUUCUGGACAGUGACUGACGCUGAGACGCGAAAGCGUGGGGAGCAAACAGG
rnacentral:rRNA from 1 species